rfam:Oryza glaberrima chromosome 4 Oglab04_0187_1, whole genome shotgun sequence.
AAAAAAACAAACCCUAGAUUUUCGUGUCUAACGUUUAACUGUCCGUCUUAUAUGAAUUUUUUUUAUAAUUAGUAUUUUUAUUAUUGUUAGAUAAUAAAACAUGAUUAAUACUUUAUACGUGACUUGUUUUUUUUUCAUAAUUUUUUCAAAUAAAACGGACGGUUAAAUAUUGGACAUGUAAAUCCAGGGUUUGUCUUUUU